rnacentral:misc_RNA from 3 species
AAUGCAAGUUGCGCACGAGGCCAUUAGGUCGAGUGCACGUCUGUUUGGGCGUCAUGUAUAGCGUCAUUCCAAUCUCCCUCAUGCGACGAGUGCAUUUUGGGUUAUGAUGGAUAUGGAGAAUGACCUUCCGUGCUUUAAUUGUAUGGUAGGUUUAAGUGAUUGUCGUUGCCAGUUAUAUGCGAGGCGAAUGGUGUGUCGAGUUAACGCACGAUGUCUCUAAUCGCGUCCAUGAGACCUAGGCAUGACUUAGCACUAGCUAAAACCGAUUUCGAUGUUUGCUUUCGUAGCAGGCUCGGACCAUGACCUCAGAUCAGACGGGGCGACCCGCUGAGUUUAA